rnacentral:lncRNA from 1 species
GGGUGGCAGGGUGCAGGCACACUUGCUGCUGUGGGGUCUGAUCUGUUUCUCACUCUGCCCCACACCCACUGGGGAGGGGUUACUGCUUUCCCUCCCUGGGCCUCAGUUUCCCCUCUGUGGGGAAAUGUUUUCUCCACAGUACCCUGUUAGCACACAGUAGGCCCUCAGGAUGCACUUGCUGGGUGGAUUUCUCCGAUGGGUGAUGGAGGAAGGGUCUGUCACUGCAGCUGCCUGUGGGAUCCUGAGUGGGGCUCUAGCUUUUCUGGGGUUGGGGCUCCAGGUGUGAAGUCAGGCAUAGACCCAGAAGGCUCUCUGUGUUCCCAGGGGAAAGGGACAGGCGGCUCCCAGGUAGGCUCCAGGAGAAGACUGCGGGGAAGCUGGUGGGUGGUGUGUGCCUGCCCACCCUCACUAAAGCCCAAC